AUAUGUAAGACUGUUUAAGAUUAACUUUCUGUCUCCUGACUGAAGAUUUACUUGCCUUGCCUGUAUGCUGUAUAUAAGCAUGUGGUGCUUUUAAUAAAUUUUGUCUAUACCCGCAUGGUGUGGUCCACUCUCUGCCUACCAGACAUUGGAUUCCUGGGUCUCGCUGUGUGAAAAGCAACAAGUGGUGAACAACCAGGACUUGGAGCAGUUCUACUAGAAAGAUGUGGUGUCCCAUAGAAAGAGCCGCAGUGAUGGACGGAUUGCUAUAACCGUGGCUGCUGCAACCGCUGGAGUGACUGCAUACCACCGUCCAAACCAAGGACUUCGUAGAGAAGUGGCAGCGGGAUUCUCCUCAGCUGUGGACUCAUCAGAUAGAUACUGAACAGGACAUUGAAUCCCGCUUAAACACCUUACAACACGCAGUCCAGUGGCUGGGAGGCCAGCUAAUUGAGGUACAGAAACUAACCUUUAAAUGUGACUGGAGUUCAACAAAGCUGUGUUACACCCGCCCACUUCAACACUACUAACUUCACUUGGCAGGGACUUUGACACCACCUGCAGGACUUGUGGGGAAAUUUGUCUUGGGUCAUACAUCCACAGCAACAAGUCACUGAGACUUUCUCGGCACAGCUCCCUGAGGUGGGAUAUGAUGGCUUAGCUGAAGGCAUAGUAUCUGUAUUAAAUCAACUAGAUCCUCAUACCUGGUGGCAGAGUUUUACCCAUCGCGCUUUUACAGGAUUGAUUGUAUUGUGUCUUACGAAGUUUGUGCUCUUUGCACACCGCUGUCUCCAUUCCAAAAUAGCUAAAGCAUCCCUUUCACAAAAGAACCUCAUGCUUGCUGUACUACAUUUAACAAAACAAAAAACAAAAAAGGGGGAGAUGUCAGAGACCCCAGCUCCCAUGAUCCCAUCUGAGGACUUACGUGCUGUGAGGUUGUGUAUGCUGACAUGCACAGCCUUAGGGAGGAAAAAAAAAAACCUUCAAAGUCUGGGCAACAUCUGGAUGCCCAGCCAUAAGCCUCAAGGAUGGCAUGCAGAACGUGAUCUCCAGGCUCCGCUGAAUAAUCCCAUAGACAAUGCCUCGAAACUCCCUUUGUGUGUCUGAUAGCUCACCUGGACUUUGCUUGUUCUUUGUAACCUUUGAUCACUUAACACUGCUUCACUUUUGUUGACAAAGAUUAACUUCUCCUGUUUACUGAUUACAGAUUAACUCCCAUUGUCUGCACAUACGUAAGACUGUUUAAAAUUAACUUUGUCUCCUGAAGAUUUACUUGCCUUGCCUGUAUGCUGUAUAUAAGCAUGUGGUACUUUUAAUAAAUUUUGUCUAUACUGCA